GUUGAUUCGGUGAUAAUUCAAGUUGAAUAUUGAGGAAGCAUUCCAGUUCCUCCAACUUUUAAUAGUUCAUAUCUUCAAAACGAUGAGAUGUAAAAAAAUAUUUGCGAUUCCUCGUGGACCAUUUUCGGACUGAAAUCUACAAUGGAGCAAAAUUAUUGUGCUUAUCUGGUCCUUAUUUUGGGAUGUAUUUGGAGCAUGAAAUUAGCGAACUGGGAAGCUUCAUCUAUAAAAAUCCAUCAGUUGUCAUGGGUAGCUCCACUUCAUCUAUAGCUAGCAAAAGACUUCUUUUUGCUCCAUUACUCUUUGGACUCGAGAGGACUUUUAUGACCAUGACUUUUUGGUUUGAUAUAUCUUAUAAUGGUGGUGCUUCUUCUCUCCAAAUCAAUGCCUACUACAAUACUUGCCCUGAAGUUGAAAGAAUCAUUUAUUCAAAGGUCCACGAAUGGCUGCAUCGCUUCUUCAUCUCCAUUUCCAUGAUUGUUUUGUUAAUCCGUUGUAGGGUUGCGAUGCUUCUGUGUUGUUGGAUGAUACAACUGGGUUUGAUGGAGAAAAGACUGCAGUACCCAACUUGAAUUCUCUGAGAGGGUUUGAAGUGGUUGAUGCAAUAAAAUCUGAACUUGAAUCUAUAUGUCCUUAGACUGCUUCCUGUGCUGACAUUCUUGCUACUGCUGCAAGAGACUCCGUUGUUCUGUUCGGUGGACCGGGUUGGGAUGUGCUGAUGGGUAGAAAGGAAAGCUUGACUGCUAGGAAAACAGAUGCCAACAACAACAUUCCAGCCCCAAAUUCAGACUUAAACACACUCAUCACCAAAUUCCAAAACGUUGGACUCGGCUCGACCCGACCGACAUGGUGCGCACACCAUCGGCAAGCUAGGUGUUCAUCCUUUAGCUCCAGUCUUCAAGGCCGUAGUACUCGCAACUCCGAUGGACAAAGGUUAUUUUGUUAAACUGAGAACACUAUUUUAAAUGGCAGAAUGAAGAAAUACUAAGACAAAAAUUAUCUUGUCUACAUCUCCAAAAUCUACCUUUUUGGGUUUUCUGUUCAUAUCUAGGAAGGGUAAUAGAGUGACUGACAAACUAGAAAAAGGAAGCAAGGAAGUCUGGCCGGAAUCAAGACUGGAACUCCAACACUUUAAUGUUAUACCUUAAAGUUUUUAUUUACAUAUAGACUUAAUAUAGAGAUCUAAAAGAGAGACUCAGAUUUUCAAAAUUAUCACAAUGAUUGCUCCUCUCAAAACUAAAGUUACAAAGGAGAUUCCUAAGUUGUUUUGGUUUUUCUCAGAUGAAAGUUGUGACGUUUCCGCUUCACACAAAGGAGAUUUUGGUUUGUAUACCCGCAAACACGAAUUCUCAGGUGAUGUGCAUCUGCGCCAUUGACGUGUUACAAUUGUUGAGAUGUAGAUCUGAAUAAUUGGUUUAAGUUUUGAGGGUGUAUUUAGAUCUGAUUAUGGUAGUAUUUGUAAAUCUACUUCAUCUGUAAAUGUUGUUAGUUUAUUCUGAAUCUGAUUAGUCCUCUGUUAAAUGAUAAGAAUCAAUCUCAGUUGGAUUAGUCCUACUAGUUUAUUCUUAUAAUUUUCUCAGUCUUUCUUCUUUUAUAUAUCAAGAUUUCUACAUACACAGAAAAAUAGUUUUGUACUAGCCAUGGAGAACCAAAAUGUGGAUGAUGGUUUAUUAGGGUUUUUACCCAUAAACCUACCAAACCGGGCCAAAACCGAUUUGAAUCUAUCAUAGCCGUGGAAUUAUGUCUAUUUGAUCCUAUCCAUCCAUGGAGACUAUAAAAAUCCCUAAACCUAAAACAAAUGUGUAGUAGGGUUUGGGUUGCAUAAUAGGUGCAUGUAAAAUUAUACUCCUCAUGGACCAUUUUCAGACUGAUGAUUACAAUUGAGCAAAAUCACUCUGCUAUCUGGUCUUUAUAAUGUGAUGAAUGUUGCUAGUACCUAAAUAUAAUUUUUCGUUCUGCCUAUCUUUUUAUCCUAUUUCUAAACUUGGUAAAGCACAAUUUAUUCAAGGACUGUCAAUCAGAAAGUCAUAUCCAGCUUAAUUUGGUGCAUGAAAUUGGCCAACUGGGAAGCUUAAUGGAGAGCUGCACUUCCUUAUUUGCUAGUAGAUCAUCAUUUUGAAAAUGUCACUCCUCUGGAGAUAGUCCCAAUGGAUAAAGAAUACACUAGAGACACAAUCUGGAAAGGAUACCUUCAAAGAUGUGACUUCGAAAAAGGAAUUAAGGUAAUUGGAGCAUGAAAUUGGCCAACCGGGAAGCUUCAUCUAUAAAUCCAGUCGUUGUCAUGGAGAGCUGCAUUUCCUUAUUUAUAGAUGAUCAUCAUUUUCGAGAGACAGUCCUGAUGGAUAAAGGAUGCUCUACAUCAUCUUAGAAGGAUAGGAUGUGACAUAGAGAAAGGAACUAAGGAACAGCUCUUAAGGCUUGCUCUGGAUGCUUCACAGCCACCAGUGCAGAAGAAGCCGAAGCUUUAGCAUGCUGAGUGGGCAACAGAAAUGUCUUUGUAACUUUUUUCGAUUGAAGGCAACUGCAAAAGACUCCUUUCAAAAGCUCAAGGAAGCCUCCGCACAAUCGAAUGGCAGAAUGAAGAAAUACUAAGACAAAAUUAUCUUGUCUACAGCUCCAAAUUCUAUUUUUUUGGGUUUUCUGUUCAUCUCUAGGAAGGGUAAUAGAGUGGCUGACAAACUAGCAAAGGAAGCAAGGGAGUCUGUCCGGAAUCAAGACUGGAACUCCAACACUUUAAUGCCUAGUUAUACCUUAAAGUUUUUAUAUACAGAUAGACUUAAUAUAGAUACCAGGGAUGAUGAUCUUUCCCCUGUUUAUCUAGAAUCUAUCCCAGCAUGUAAUUAUGUUCGAACUUGAAGAGAGACACUCAUGUUGGGGGGUAUACUUACAUCAUCUUCUGUUGCUAUGUGAGGAACAACCAACAUAAGAUAAUCAAAGCUUUGAUCGCAAA